rnacentral:rRNA from 1 species
CCCGCUCAGAAACUCAAGGAAGUUGACGGGGCCCGCACAAGCGGAGGAGCAUGUGGUUUAAUUCGAUGAUACGCGAGGAACCUUACCUGGGCUCGAACGUAAGAUGACUGUAGGUGAAAGCUUACAUCUCUUCGGAGCAUUUUACGAGGUGCUGCAUGGUUGUCGUCAGCUCGUGCCGUGAGGUGUCGGGUUAAGUCCCAUAACGAGCGCAACCCCUACCUUUAGUUGCCAUCAGGUAAUGCUGGGGACUCUAAAGGAACUGCCUACGCAAGUAGUGAGGAAGGCGGGGAUGACGUCAAAUCAGCACGGCCCUUACGUCCAGGGCUACACACGUGCUACAAUGGCCGAUACAGAGGGCAGCUACCUGGUGACAGGAUGCAAAUCUCCAAAGUCGGUCUCAGUUCGGAUCGGAGUCUGCAACCCGACUCCGUGAAGUUGGAUUCGCUAGUAAUCGCGCAUCAGCCAUGGCGCGGUGAAUACGUUCCCGGGCCUU